rnacentral:rRNA from 1 species
UACGUAGGGGGCAAGCGUUGUCCGGAUUUACUGGGCGUAAAGGGCGUGCAGGCGGUCUGUUAAGUUCAGGGUGAAAGCUCCCGGCUCAACUGGGAGAGGUCCUUGGAUACUGGUGGACUUGAGGGAGGCAGAGGAAAGUGGAAUUCCCGGUGUAGUGGUGAUAUGCGUAGAUAUCAUGAGGAAUACCAGAGGCGAAGGCGGCUACCUGGACAAUUGCUGACGCUCAGGCACGAAAGCGUGGGGAGCAAAAGGG